CACUGUCUGCCAGCCAGUGGUCCUUGGGGUUCGCUGGGGCUGGGGAGAUGCUGGGCUGGGGGAGGUGGACGCUGUGGCCCACGGGAAAAGCACUCGGGGCUGGGAUGCCCAGGGAAAUGCUUUUCCUCUCCCUCGGGAAUUACAGUCCCGUCGUUCCUCCUUGAAGGCGGCUACAAAAGACCCGCGCCGGUUCGUGAUCCCUGUUAGGGAUGAAAGCAGCUCACCGCGGCCACUCGGCCCCGCGGCCGGAGUUUCUUCCUCCACUUGAAGGACAAGGGAAUAAAUGGGAGGUCGCCUGGCAUUCAGAUGAUCUCCGUGUGGGAUUAAUUGCUCGCACAUCAUCUUCCCCAGCCAGAUGUGCCAGGCAUGGCUGGGCCAUUUCUGAGGGAGCUGGAGAUGAAAAAAACACGUGGACAAGAAGUGACCUUCCCUCACUGCUGGACUCUGGCCAUCCCCACCACCUCGUGGCUCUGGGACGGGAGCUGCUGCCUGGGGAAGACACGAGGAGUCAGAAGCCUGAAAAGCUCUGAAAUCCACCCAAAACCAGAGCAGCCCAUGCCUGAUCAUUUCGCUUUCUCUUCCUAGUGAGUGCUGGAGUAUUAAUAACCUUUUGGUGUAAAAUUACUGCAUUUAAAAAAUUUCAUUAUGUCUCUAUGUCACGGGACAUAGAGCAGAGGCAAACCUAAUUAAAUUACUGAGAAUUAAAUUGCCAGCCCCUCCAGCAAAGCCUGGGGGGAGGCGGUCGAUCCCUCCAGCUUUGCAAGGGAUCUGAAUUACUCGGCUCAGCUCUUCUCCCACCAAAGCCAGAACCCUGGGGAAGGAGCCCAGUUCAGCCCCUGCGCCUGCCACUGGGAAGCUGGGGAGGGAGGGAGGGAGGGAGGUGAUGCUCAUGGUGGAUUUGUUUAUUAAGGUCCAUAAUUAACAGUGAUGAGAUCUGCAGGAGAGGGAAACCGUUGCCUCCAUGAGAACAGGGGGAGGGCGAGAUGGUUUUGGUGCUAUUUUAAGGAAAGUCUGAAAAGGCAGGAGGCUGCAAACACCGAGGUUCCUGCAAGCUCAGCAGAGCUGGUCUCCCCCACCAGCCUGGAUGUGGCCGGGGGCUCGGGCGGGGGGACGGUCCCCAGCCCGGCUCCCCCUCCGCAGCAUCGCUGCUGCUGAGUCCCCUUCCCCGUCCCGGGGCCGGUUAUUUCAGAACACCUUUGCAUCCCUUUUGAUGUGGC
rnacentral:lncRNA from 1 species